AGUGAACGCUGGCGGUAGGCCUAACACAUGCAAGUCGAACGGCAGCACAGUAAGAGCUUGCUCUUACGGGUGGCGAGUGGCGGGCGGGUGAGGAAUACAUCGGAAUCUACUUUUUCGUGGGGGAUAACGUAGGGAAACUUACGCUAAUACCGCAUACGACCUACGGGUGAAAGCAUGGGAUCUUAGGACCUUGCGCGAUUGAAUGAGCCGAUGUCGGAUUAGCUAGUUGGCGGCGUAAAGGCCCACCAAGGCGACGAUCCGUAGCUGGUCUGAGAGGAUGAUCAGCCACACUGGAACUGAGACACGGUCCAGACUCCUACGGGAGGCAGCAGUGGGGAAUAUUGGACAAUGGGCGCAAGCCUGAUCCAGCCAUACCGCGUGGGUGAAGAAGGCCUUCGGGUUGUAAAGCCCUUUUGUUGGGAAAGAAAAGCAGCAGGUUAAUACCCCGCUGUUCUGACGGUACCCAAAGAAUAAGCACCGGCUAACUUCGUG
rnacentral:rRNA from 1 species